CGGUGAGAGGAAUGAUGUACUAUUACAGGGCUCUCAAAAUGCUUACCUUUCUUGAUAAUGCUUCCGAGAUUGACAUCAGCG
rfam:Musa acuminata subsp. malaccensis Doubled-haploid Pahang (DH-Pahang) genomic chromosome, chr1